AUUGAACGCUGGCGGCAGGCCUAACACAUGCAAGUCGAGCGGCAGCGGGAAAGUAGCUUGCUACUUUUGCCGGCGAGCGGCGGACGGGUGAGUAAUGCCUGGGAAAUUGCCCAGUCGAGGGGGAUAACAGUUGGAAACGACUGCUAAUACCGCAUACGCCCUACGGGGGAAAGCAGGGGACCUUCGGGCCUUGCGCGAUUGGAUAUGCCCAGGUGGGAUUAGCUAGUUGGUGAGGUAAUGGCUCACCAAGGCGACGAUCCCUAGCUGGUCUGAGAGGAUGAUCGGCCACACUGGAACUGAGACACGGUCCAGACUCCUACGGGAGGCAGAAGUGGGGAAUAUUCCACAAUGGGGGAAAGCCUGAUGCAGCCAUGCCGCGUGUGUGAAGAAGGCCUUCGGGUUGUAAAGCACUUUCAGCGAGGAGGAAAGGUUGAUGCCUAAUACGUAUCAACUGUGACGUUACUCGCAGAAGAAGCACCGGCUAACUCCGUGCCAGCAGCCGCCGUAA
rnacentral:rRNA from 1 species